CCUUGGUGGGUUUGGGUAUGCGACUCUGCUCUUGUAUUGAUUGCUAGGUCCAUGUGAAUUUGUUUGUCUCAUGUUUUUCAUUUGUGUGUCAAGUAUUUAAGUAUGAGGUUGGCUUUCUUGAUGGACAGUUUCUUUAAUUCGCUGAGCUCAAAAGUAACAUAGCUUUGGUUACCUAGUAGGGUGUGUGUGUAUUAUUUGCUUAUGCCGGGAUAGCUCAUUGCUGGUGUUUUAUUGCUUGUAUAGUAGUUGACAAGUCAUAGGUUUUAUUGAUUUAAUUGUUUAGAAAGUUGGUCUUCAAAAAUCAAGCUUGAUUGUAAAUAACAGUUUGGAACAAUACCAUCUUUGACUUUGUAUCGUAUAAUAAAGCGUAACACUAGGCUACUUAUAUAUUAAGUACCAUGGUGUGGGUUCUAUUCUGACAUUGGGCUUUCCAGAGUUACAUGGCGAAGCUUUUAUUGUUAAAGGAUGUUAUAUAUUGUAUCAUAGUGUGACGUUAGAGUACAAUUAGCUUACAUGGGAUGUGAAUUACGUCUACACUGUCUUGUGCCCCUGAAUAUUAGUUUGACAAGCAAUUGUUUUCUUGCAGAGGUUGUAAACAUAUAAAUUUUCCCCGGGUGGAUUUCAACCCAUUUCUUUUCCUACAUUUGACAUGUUAAAUACAUGGAACAAUAUGGGCAUAUUUGCUAAGACGCUUUGAGGGUCUUUUAUGACCUUAAAGCUCCAAGCUUUUAAAAACAAGUCUUUUUUAAACAUAUAGAUUUGUUUCAAAUGACAUCUUGAAGAAAACUCUGCCCCAAAAAGCUUCUAAAAGCUUUUAAAAGUCUUUAAAAUGAAAGUUUGUCAGAGAGUUUUAAAAUUAAACUCCGCAUCUAGCCCCAACCUCCAGCUCUAAGGUAUAUGUAUGGGAUGUUUUAUGAUAGUAGUAUAGAGCAGACUUUGUUUACUUGCUGGGUAUAGUAAUGCCCUUGAACUUCUAGCUGAGAUGUUUAUGUGGUAAGUAUUUCUGUCAAUGUACCUUGUUUUUGGCUGGUUUUGGGAAACCAUUUCAGUCUCUAUUUUUUUUUUUUUUUUGAUUGUUUAUGAAGAUCUUAAGUCUUAACACGCAGUACUCUUUAUCUGAUGGGAACUAGGGUCCUUUUAGUACAACUGUCUUAAUUUGUCAUUAUACAUGUGUAGGUGUGACUUAUGCAGGUGACAAAAGGUGGGACACGUAUCUGUUAUCUGUUAGAUGUUGAAAUAGAAUGGGACAGCAUUUUGAAGGGAGAGGAGUAUAAACGGUUGAGGUACAAGGACUGCAGUUUCUUUUGACAUGGAAUUUAGGGUGGUUUAUUAUUUGUUAGUUUUUGUAUUUGAAUGUACCAAAAAAUUUAUCUUUGCCACCGCUAUAGGAUUGUACCUAAUGAUGUAGAGGGCUUAAGAAGGAACUGGUAUGUUGUAAUGUUGUAUGGACGGCCAUAGUAUUUGACAAAGCUUGAAUUUCACGUUUUAAUGAAUUAGUUCAGUCAAUAAAUGAAGUGGUUGCAAGGGGGCGGGGAUGUGUUAGCUAAUUUGAACUGGAGAUGGUGUGAGAUUUUACAAGAGAUUUUUUAUUUCGUAUCUCCAAGGUUCUUCCUAUAUAUAUUUGGCAGGUGAGUCUUUGCUACGAGAAAAAAAUGACAACCUGAAUAGCGAAAAACCAAUAACAGGGUGGUGUUCCCGGUUAUAAUUCACCAAUUGAAAUUUAAGAGAUGUAAAGCUUAUGUGUUUGUUUAGAUAAAGCUGGUUUUCGAAAGUGUCUUUCUAAUACUUGCUGCUUAUCUCAUGUGUGAUGGAAACAUCAACUCUGGAAGAGUCCUUUUUGUACAUUUGUCUUACUUUAUACAUAUGCACAUUGCUAAUAGAUCAAUGCAGGUGACAAAAAGCUGAAUGUGGAAUGGUGCACUCUUUCAGGGGAAAAGUGUACAAAGGUACGGGUUGUGGUAUAAGGGCUACAUUGAAAGUUUUAUCAAUGGAUACACUGUAUUUUGUAACUGGCAGCAUACACCCUCGAUUAUUUUCCAGCAUUAUUAGCCUUGCUUACCAAGAACAUAAUGAAAUGCUCACUCGAGAUAAAUGGCUAUAUCAGGGUGGAGUGCCUUCGGGUAUGGAGUACCCAUCAGUUGUGCUGUAAUAGUAGAGAUUCGUGUUUCUACCUGCAACAGACGUUAAAGAAGAAGUUGCAGUUUAAGGAACUUGGUUUUGAACAUUGUAAACGCCUAAAACGACGUUUGUCAAUAUUUGGAUAGUUUUGGGAAUUUAUACUUGAAUGUAAGUUUUGACUUGAACCAGCAUUGACCAACAGUUUUAUGUGCCCUUCUCUACUAUUUGUAAAAAUGCAACUGAAACCACUUUUCCUGUUCAACCAUUGACUGAUUUUGCGAUU